rnacentral:rRNA from 1 species
UACGUAGGCAGCAAGCGUUGUUCGGAUUUACUGGGCGUAAAGGGUGCGUAGGUGGCUCUAUAAGUAUGGUGUGAAAUCUCCCGGCUUAACUGGGAGGGUGCGCCGUAGACUGUGGGGCUAGAGUGUGGGAGAGGAAAGUGGAAUUCCUGGUGUAGCGGUGAAAUGCGUAGAUAUCGGAAGGAACACCAGUGGCGAAAGCGGCUUCCUGGUCCAGCACCGACGUUCAGGCACGAAAGCGUGGGGAGCAAACAGG